rnacentral:rRNA from 1 species
CCUACGGGAGGCAGCAGUGAGGAAUAUUGGUCAAUGGGCGGGAGCCUGAACCAGCCAAGUCGCGUGAGGGAAGACGGUCCUAUGGAUUGUAAACCUCUUUAGGCGGGGAGCAAUGCCGGGCACGUGUGCACGGAGGGAGAGUACCCGCAGAAUAAGCAUCGGCUAACUCCGUGCCAGCAGCCGCGGUAAUACUGAUGAUGCGAGCGUUAUCCGGAUGUAUUGGGGUUAACGGGUGCGUAGGCGGAUUUUUAAGUCAGCGGUAAAAUGUCCGGGCUCAAACCGGGCCGGCCGUUGAAACUGGGGAUCUAGAGUGGGCGAGAAGUAUGCGGAAUGCGUGGUGUAGCGGUGAAAUGCAUAGAUAUCACGCAGAACUCCGAUUGCGAAGGCAGCAUACCGGCGCCCGACUGACGCUGAGGCACGAAAGCGUGGGGAUCGAACAGGAUUAGAUACCCGAGUAGUC